UCGAGGGGCCCUUCCCAGGGGGACCCUGCUCCUCCUCUCCUAGGCGGAAGCCUGUUGUGGUCUCUAGGGUCCUUGCAACUCCUCUCCUAGGCGGGAGCCCAGGGUGGCCUCUAGGGUCCUUCCCCUCUGGGGGCACGCCCCAGAGAGGCACCUGACCCCCACCAUUUUGUCUUCAUUCAUUCAAAACUUUGUGGGGGACGCCAGCAGCACUGUCCUGGCCAGCAACAGAUUGUCCCAAGGCCCCCAAGUGACCUCCAAGAGGUGGCCCAUUGCCCAGCAGGACACAGUCUGCUCUGUGAGGCCCCAGCCCUUCAGCCCCUCCGGACGAGUAGGUCCAUGACAGCAUCCCUCCCAGGGACACCCUUAUAUCCUGCCCUAAUUCUCUGUGAUUUGGUCCCCCUGCAGCCGCUCCUCCCCCUGCCCCUGCCUCUGAGUUCCCGACUCUCCUUCCAGUGAUGUAACUUAUUAUGGGCUUCAUUGUGUACCCCCCAAAUUCAUAUGUCUUAACCUCCAGAACCUCAGAAUGUGACAUUCUUAGGAAAUGGGGUUAAUCAGGUUACAGUGAGGACAUGAGGGAGGGCCCUGAUCUAAUGUGACCCGUGUCCUCAUUAGGAGGAGAAUUUGGGACACAGACACACUCAGAUGGAUGACGUUGUAAAAAUCCAUGGGAAGACAGAGUGAUGUGGCCACAAGCCAAGGGAUGUCUGGGCUCCCAGGGGCUGGAAGAGGUGGGAAGGAUCCUCCCCCGUGGGUUUCAGAGGGAGCCUUGAUCUCAGACUUCUGGCCUCCCAGACUGUGAGACAAUAGGCUUCUGUUGCUCUAAGCCCCCAGGGUUUUGGAUACUUUGUUAUGGCAGCCCCAGAUGCUAAUACAUCGCCCCCGCCCCCUCCCCUGGACCUUUACCUAAGCUCAGUCUUGGGGUCCCACUCCCCUUCUUUCCACUGUCCCCCUUGGUCCACAUGAAUUCUCCCCAGAGCACUUCAGUCCCAAGGGCAGUCGGUAACCCCCCCAUCCCCAACCCCAGACUCCUUCUUCCUUCAGCUCCAUCCCUGCUCCCUCGAGGAUGGGAAAGCCCUCUGUCUGCCAGAUCUCUCCUUUGUUUGUGAGCUUGACCUGACAAUCACCCCACAUUCCCCUAGUAAACCUCUGCCUCCUCCAUCCCUCCCCUCCCAGCGCCGCUAGUGUGAGGAUGCUGAGCUUCUCUUUUUUUUUUCUUUUUCUCUAUUUUUGUUUUUUUAUUAUACUUUAAGUUCUAGGGUACAUGUACACAACGUGCAGGUUUGUUACAUAUGUAUACAUGUGCCAUGUUGGUUUGCUGCACCCAUUAACUCGUCAUUUACAUUAGGUAUUUCUCUUAAUGCUAUCCCUCUCCCCUCCCCCCACCCCACGACAGGCCCCAGUGUGUGAUAUUCCCCACCCUGUGUCCAGGUGUUCUCAUUGUUCAAUUCCCACCUAUGAGUGAGAACAUGUGGUGUCUGGUUUUCUGUCCUUGCGAUAGUUUGCUCAGAAUGAUGGUUUCCAGCUUCAUCCAUGUACAAAGGACAUGAACUCAUCCUUUUUUAUGGCUGCAUAGUAUUCCACGGUUUAUAUGUGCCACAUUUUCUUAAUCCAGUCUAUCAUUGAUGGACAUUUGGGUUGGUUCCAAGUCUUUGCUAUUGUAGAUAGUGCCGCGAUAAACAUACGUGUGCAUGUGUCUUUAUAGUAGCAUGAUUUAUAAUCCUUUGGGUAUAUACCCAGUAAUGGGAUCGCUGGGUCAAAUGGUAUUUCUAGUUCUAGAUCCUUGAAGAAUCGCCACAUGUCUUCCACAAUGGUUGAACUAGUUUACAGUCCCACCAACAGUGUAAAAGUGUUCCUAUUUCUCCACAUCCUCUCCAGCAUCUGUUGUUUCCUGACUUUUUCAUGAUCGCCAUUCUAACUGGUGUGAGAUGGUAUCUCAUUGUGGUUUUGACUUGCAUUUCUCUGAUGACCAGUGAUGAUGAGCAUUUUCUCAUGUGUCUGUUGGCUGCAUAAAGGUCUUCUUUUGAGAAGUGUCUGUUCAUAGAGGAUGCUGAGUUUCUCAUCCCCACGCCUGCCCACCUGUCCUCGCCUACCCAAGUCAUCCUCCCUGCCUGCGUCACAUCCCAACCUUUUGCCUCCUCAAGGGCAGGGCUCCCAAUGUUCCUCUCUCCGUUUCUCUGCACAGUCCCCUUCUGUGGGGGCACCCACUGGACCAAGCUCCCAGUGCUCCUCUCUCCCCGUUUCUCUGCACAAUCCCCUUUUGAGGGGGUGGCAAUGGAGCAUGCUCACAUCCUGUUACUUCUCUUGCGUUCUCUUGACCCUCCCCUACAGCUACUCCCACAUAUUUGAGGGCGGAGCUCUGAGCAGCUGCCUCACCUUGCAGCCUCCUCUCUUUCCAUCUCUUUCCUUCUCUCCCAGCCCUCGGAGCAGGCCCCAGGGGACUAUACUAUAAAGACACAUGCACACGUAUUUUUAUCGCGGCACUGUUUACAAUAGCAAAGACUUGGAACCAACCCAAAUGUCCAUCAAUGACAGACUGGAUUAAGAAAAUGUGGCACAUAUAAACCAUGGAAUACUAUGCAGCCAUAAAAAAGGAUGAGUUCAUGUGCUUUGUACAUGGAUGAAGCUGGAAACCUUCAUUCUGAGCAAACUAUCGCAAGGACAAAAAACCUCCUGCUGUCUCCCCUCUCCCUGAGGUCCCCAUUGACCCCACACUGCUGCCUCCAGUGGUCCGCUUUGGCAGGCCUCCCACUGGAGUGACAGUUGCCUUCGUGGCUUGUUCCCUCCUCCACGAUGGUCUGCUGCUCUGGGCUGUGCUGGGUCCUUUGCCCCUCCUCCGCCACCACUGCCAGUUCCCCCAGCUCAUCCGACCUCCAGCCUCCCUGCCCUCUGGGGGAGCCCACCCCAUGACCGUCUCCAUGCUGCAGGGCCCCAGAGCCUCUGUGCUGAACUGCCUUGUGUCCAGCUCCCUUCGGCUCUCCACUGGGGUCGAAAAUCGUCUCAAACUCAACCCGUCCCCAACUGGGCUCCCAUCUUUCCCUCUCCUCCUGUCCAUGCCUCCUUCCUUAUGGGCUCAGGCCCAGAUCUUCCGUGCUCCCUGAGCCCUGCUUUCUCUCACACCCACUACAGUCCAUUGACAACACAUGAAAAUCCAGCCACCUCUCACCUCCUCCACAGCCAUCACCAGCCCAGAGUUCUUUGAGCAGCAGGUGGGGUGUGGUCCCAUUCUGGCCUCAACCGGUCCACUCUAGCCACUCUGCUCUCUCCAAUGCCCCGGGGCCUCUCCUGCUUCCUUCCAGCCCUGCUCCAAGGUUGCCUUCUCUAUGAGGAAGACCUCGCCCCCUUCCCACUGCAGCCCCUGUGCGUGUGGACCCCCAGCUCCGAGGGAGUGGGCUGUUGAGGAUUUUUACACUCUGCAGUAUUUCAGGUUCUGACAUCAGGGUCAGCUCCUGGGCACUCAGCACGGAGUUACUCCCCAUGAGAGUCGAUGGGUGGCUGAAGCCACUCCUCCUGUGCUCUGUGCCCAGCUGUGGGAAGGGUUCUGACUUCUCAUUCACUCUUCCCCGCACCAACCCUACAGGGAGGGACUGUUAUUACCCAUUUUAUGAUGAGAAAACCAAGGCUCCUGCCCAGCCUUCCCCACUGGUAGGGAGGAGAUUCAGGGCUUGACCCAAGCCAUUUAGCAGGAGUGGGCGGGGCUCCUGAGGCACGGCGGGGAGGGAUCCUUAGGCUCACCAUCGGGCUGGGAGCCUCUGCCAGGCCCGGAAUGGUGCCAAAGGCCCAUCCCCACUCCCAUCUAGAUGCCCAGGUCCAGGCUCUGAGGGCUGAGAAGAGGAGGGCAGGUGUCUGAGCCCACGCAUGCCGGGCUUCCCAGAAGCAAACACAGGAAGGGCCGAGGUUGGCCCUGACUCGCCUGAGCUUCUUGGUGAUGUGAGACUUUGUUCCCAAGCCUCUCCAGACUUGGUGAAUAUAAUUUAAUCAUUACUAUUACAGCUUCCAGAGCCACACACUGUGGUAUAGACUACUGAAUGAUACACUAAACUAACAUGAAUUUGCCAAUGAAAUGUUUCCGCAUUUGGCAACAGAGAUAACAAAAUAAGACAGCAUUCUAUCUCCUGCAUGAAAAAGCUUGAGAUCAAUUUGCCGCCACAGAUCAUUUAGUGGACAACAAGGACCCAAGAAGAUGGAGGGGAGAGAUAGAAGCUGCGGGCAGGUGCAAGGAGAGCCUCUCUGAGGGGUGAUCCGCCCAGAGCCACACCGGAUUGAACAGCCCUUGGGGCAGGGACUCCAGAGGGCAAAGGCUGCCGGGUGAGAGGCAGGAGGAACAGCGCUAGGAAGGUUUGAGGAGGUGCUGCCCCCAGGAGGGAAGUGGGGUGGCUCCCCAUGGCUUCUCCCGGGGCUGGCACUGAAGCUGGAGCACAGGAUGUGCUGACGGAGGUCCAGAGGCAGAGUCCUUAACUUACUCAGCUUAAGCGUGGCAUGGAGUCCCAACUGGGAGGGGCCCUGGCAGCAUGAAACCCCCACCCCCACUCUCUGCGACGGCCCAGAUGGAGGGCAGGAGGAACAGCGGUUCAGCCCUGGCUGGGGCUGCAGGGGCUGGGGUGUGUUACUCACUGGCACGACGGAGAACUGCAUGAAGAGGCAGGGCAUAAGACCCCAUUCCAGGAGGGUCCUGCUCCAUGCCCAGAAGGAAGGAAUGCUGCUCAGAAAGUUCAAGAAAUCUAGACCAACAGCCCUCGCUGCGCUUCCCCUUGUGGUCCAGGAGCAUUGGUGCAGGUCCCUUGGUUCAUCUGUGUUCCCGCAUGGAUGUCCAUACUUUGUUGAGCCUAAGCAUCAGAAAUGGCAAUUUCCCCCAUAUCUUUUUUUUUUUUUUUUUUUGAGACGGAGUCUUGCUCUGUCACCCAGGCCGAAGUGCAGUGGCGCGAUCUCGGCUCUCUGCAAGCUCCGCCUCCCGGGUUCACGCCAUUCUCCUGCCUCAGCCUCCCGAGUAGCUGGGACUACAGGCGCCCGCCACAGCCCCCGCUAAUUUUUUUGUAUUUUUAGUAGAGACGGAGUUUCACCGUGUUAGCCAGGAUGGUCUCGAUCUCCUGACCUCGUGAUCCGCCCCCCUCGGCCUCCCAAAGUGCUGGGAUUACAGGCUUGAGCCACCGCGCCCAGCCUGUUUCCCCCAUAUCUUUGGGUCUUUGUUCUGAAAACUCCCAUUCACACACGUCAAUAAAUUUGGGGACCAAAUGCCUUUUGUCCAAUCAAUCUGCCUUCUGUGAGUUGGUUUCUUAGCAAACCCACGGGUGCAGUGUACCGCUCGAGGAGAUUCCAGCCCAAAGAGUGCAAACGUGUUUGCAUGUGGAGUGCGUGUCCCCAGAUCCUCUGCCAAGCUCGUUUUCAAGAAUAGUCACCACUGGCCUCCCUGGGGACUUGGGGAGAGUGCAGUCAAGCCGAGAGCCCAGGUCCAGCCAGAAUUUCCCGGAAGGACUGCACAGAAAGGCCGGCUGUGUAAGGCUCAGUGUGAAUGGUGAAUGGGGGAACUUCCUGGUUCUGAGGGAAUGUGGGAAAAUUGCCCUUUGGGCUGGGUGAAGAAAAAAGCAAGUGGAACCCUGGGACCCCUGGACUUCCUCCUCCAGAGGAAGCGGCUUUGGUUGUGGGCCAGCGAGCCUGUGCGUCCUCAGCCCCAGGGCAUUCACCGCUUCAGAGAAGCAAGGCGACAGUUCUGCCGGAUGAGAGGAUCCAGGCUGACUGGAGGAAGGAAGGGCUUUGUCUCAUCUGGGCUCAGGUUUGGGAGAGAUGGCUUCUCAGAGGAGGUGAUGCCUCAGCCAGUCUUAAAGGCAAUGCGGUGUGCAGAGGGUGCUUGGUGGUUCUCUCCUGAUGGCCCCGCAGGGUCUGCAGCCUCCAUCUGGCCAGCAGAGGGCGCAGAAGGACUGCCUGGGCAGCUCGGACGUGACCGCCUGGAAGUGGUGUACAGCGUUCCUGACAACGUUCCCGGCCAAAACGGGUCCCGCCGCCCACUUGUGUGCAAGAUAACUGGAAAAUGUCUUUCUGUGUGCUCCGAGGAGAAUGCAAAGGCUGGUGGAUGUAGUGCCUUUCCUCUACUGCUCUCUCAGCUGGGGGCAAGAAUGACAGGACGUGAACAUGCACACAAGGGCCCGGAACUCACGACCCCCCACAGCGGUCUCCCCCGCCCCCCCAACCCCACGCUUGCAGGAUUUAGGGCACUAGCACAGCACAGCCCACCCCUUGGGACUAGCACCCCCUCCGCAGUUCUGCUCUCUGCAGCAACAUAGAGUACAAAUAUUGUUCCUUUUGUUUCUUUUUUCCCUUGGGAUACAUUUUUAAUUACAAAAAUAGAGCUUGAUUGUUGCACCUAGA